AUGCUACAAACCCUGCUCUGCCUGUACCUUCACCUCUCUUCUGCCUGCACGCAAGGUCAGGCUCCUGCAAACAAGCCUUGGGCCAUGCCUUGGACUCAGAAUGCAGCCAGGACCUCUGCACCGGGCCAAAUCACGCCGAGGGCAGCCAGGGAAUGGUGCCUGGGGAGAAAGGACCUGCGUGGGGAAUGGUGCAAGGGGGAAGGGCAAGCUCCCAGCGGUCAGCCUACAAAUAGAAAGGGUCAUGGGAGAGUGCCCGGCUACAGGGACAAAGGGCCUGCAAGAGGCGAAUGGGGCUGUAGAAGAAGUUCUGGCAGGGAGGUGAGCGGUGGCACUGCCCCAGGAUCCCCAAGAACGUGGAGGGCUCCCUGGAGGUGCUCCCUGUGGUGCAGGCACACCCGGGGCCAUCCCGGAACAUGUGACUGGCAGGCCAGGGACGGAGCCAGCACUGAGAGUGGGCUGGGACUGACACGGGAAGGUGACGGAGCCAGUAAGCGGUGGCUGUGCCAGCGGCCGGGUGACAUCUACCACGAGCAGGUGGCACGUGUCAUCCCAUGCUCCUGUGCUGGACUUGGGCCAUGCUGGGACUCUUGUUGAGCUUGUCAGCAUCGACCCCUGGGGCUGGGGGAGGGCCCUUAGUAAAGCACCCUGCCCCACUGCCCCUCUGCCGGGCCCCACAGCUGCUCAGGAAUGAACUGGCACCAGCCCACCAGCUGCUCUCCCGGUAUGUGCACACAGAGCUGGAAUGCUGUGCCUCGGCCUCCUCGCUGGCCCGGACAGGCCUGGCCUCUGCCCAGGGCAUCUCCCCUCCCAGCCUUACCAUCCUGCUUGUCUUUUCCCAUUAAGGAAGUGCAGGCAGCUGAGCUUUGGUGCCGGAGGAAAACAGGUGUCAGAGCCAAGAGUGAUGGAGCCAAGUGGAGGGUGGUAAGACACAGGGGAAGCUCAGACAGCACACUCCCGUCCACACAGCAGCACCUUGAACGGGCACUCCCUCCACCGUUUGCUGGGAACGUGGAGAAAGUCCCUCUGCUGGUGACCCUGGCGUGCCCACCUCCACCUCAGUGCCUGUCUCCAGCCCCAGGAGCACUGCAGGAGGG
rnacentral:lncRNA from 12 species